rnacentral:lncRNA from 1 species
GCUGUUUGCCCUUGGGGCUUCUGCCCUCCUCAUCCUCCUUCCUCCUCCCCUUCAUCCUCCUUCCUCCUCCUCCUCUUCCUGCCCCUUCCUCUUCCUCCUCUCCCCUUCGGUGCCACCUCUCCUUCUCAUGCUGUUUGCCCUUGGGGCUUCUGCCCUCCUCUUCCUCUUCCUCCUCUCCCCUUCGGUGCCACCUCUCCUUCUCAUGCUGUUUGCCC